rnacentral:rRNA from 1 species
AUUGGAAAAACCGUGCGGCAAUGGGAAGACGUGAUGCGGAGUGAAGUUUAGUAAUGAAGUCCGUGAGCUGUGCGUCAAGAAAAGCCGCUAUUGUUCAUACCAUACCCGUACCGUAAACCGACACAGGUGGAUGAGGAGAGAAUCCUAAGGCCGGCGGAAGAAGCAUUGUCAAGGAACUCGGCAAAAUGACCCCGUAACUUCGGGAGAAGGGGUGCCUGCGAGAGCAGGCCGCAGAGAAUAGGCUCAAGCAACUGUUUAGCAAAAACACAGGUCUAUGCGAAACCGAAAGGUGAGGUAUAUGGGCUGACGCCUGCCCGGUGCUGGAAGGUUAAGAGGAGAGGUUAGCGCAAGCGAAGCUUUGAAUUUAAGCCCCAGUAAACGGCGGCCGUAACAAUAACGGUCCUAAGGUAGCGAAAUUCCUUGUCGGGUAAGUUCCGACCCGCACGAAAGGCGUAAUGAUUUGAGCGCUGUCUCGACAAUGCAUCCGGUGAAAUUGAAGUACCAGUGAAGAUGCUGGUUACCUGCGCCAGGACGGAAAGACCCCAUGGAGCUUUACUCCAGUUUGGUACUGGGAUCCGGUACUGCAUGUACAGGAUAGGUGGGAGGCUAUGAAUCGGUAACGCCAGUUGCCGAGGAGCCGCUGUUGGGAUACCACCCUUGCAGUACUGGGUUUCUAACCAGCCGCCGUGACCCGGCGGUGGGACAAUGCCAGACGGGGAGUUUGACUGGGGCGGUCGCCUCCGAAAGGGUAUCGGAGGCGCCCAAAGGUUCCCUCAGGAUGGACGGAAACCAUCCAAAGAGUGCAAAGGCAGAAGGGAGCUUGACUGCGACACCGACGGGUGGAGCAGGUACGAAAGUAGGGCUUAGUGAUCCGGUGGUAUUAAGUGGGAAUGCCAUCGCUCAACGGAUAAAAGCUACCCUGGGAUAACAGGCUUAUCACUCCCAAGAGUUCACAUCGACGGAGUGGUUUGGCACCUGAUGUCGGCUCAUCGCAUCCUGGGGCUGUAGUAGGUCCCAAGGGUUGGGCUGUUCGCCCAUUAAGCGGUACGCGAGCUGGGUUCAGAACGUCGUGAGACAGUUCGGUCCCUAUCCGGCGUGGGCGUAGGAUAUCUGAGAGGAGCUGUCCUUAGUACGAGAGGACCGGGAUGGACGGGCCGCUGGUGCACCGGUUAGACUGCCAAGUCUAUAGCCGGGUAGCCAAGCCCGGAAGGGAUAAACGCUGAAGGCAUCUAAGCGUGAAGCCCACCUCAAGAUGAGAUAUCCCAUCCGAAAGGAGUAAACCCCCUUGAAGACGACGAGGUCGAUAGGGCAGAGGUGGAAGUGUGGUAACACAUGGAGCUGACUGCUACUAAUAGGGUGAGGGCUUGAUC